AAGUCGUAACAAGGUUUCCGUAGGUGAACCUGCGGAAGGAUCAUUAACACGUAUCCAAACGUAAAAAACCCCCCCCGUGAACAUUCAAUCCUGCUCUUGUAACCCGCGUAGUUCGCAAUCUCUGGUAAAUCAUAGCCCGGAAAGUAGUUUUGAUUCAGAGACCUCUGGCUACGUGAGAACAUUGGAACAGUUACAAUCGAGCGGUAGUUUCAUAGGCAUUGUUUCCCCAAGCAGUUAGUGUCUGAAAGUGUCACUGAUUGUGCAAGGAUAGCGCUUCAACGAUUCCUGUAGACCGUACACUCGGGCAGGAGCUAUGCCAAAGGGUCACAGUUUAAUGUGAAGCUCAAUGUAAUACAUUGGGUAAAAAAACCGAACAACUGUUAACAAUGGAUAUCUUGGUUCUC
rnacentral:misc_RNA from 1 species